rnacentral:tRNA from 1 species
GCAUUGGUGGUUCAGUGGUAGAAUUCUAGCUUGCCAUAUUGGAGACCUGGGUUUGAUUCCCAGCCAAUGCA